rnacentral:rRNA from 1 species
UACGAAGGGGGCUAGCGUUGUUCGGAUUUACUGGGCGUAAAGCGCACGUAGGCGGAUCGAUCAGUCAGGGGUGAAAUCCCAGGGCUCAACCCUGGAACUGCCUUUGAUACUGUCGAUCUGGAGUAUGGAAGAGGUGAGUGGAAUUCCGAGUGUAGAGGUGAAAUUCGUAGAUAUUCGGAGGAACACCAGUGGCGAAGGCGGCUCACUGGUCCAUUACUGACGCUGAGGUGCGAAAGCGUGGGGGAGCAAACAGGG